GUAAAUGAUGUUGGAGACAAUAUGGGAGGGGUUUGGGAGACAUUUCCUGGGUUUGUGCGGCACGGUGUUACUUGCUAUGGGGAGAAGGUUGUGUUUCGUAUAAGCUGAGGAGUAACAAAAAAAUGGAAGAAUUUAGAGGCAAAAUCAUCACAAAUGACGAGCUCGUGCAGUUCCGGCAGCAGUUGGCUCGGUAUAAGGACCAGCAGUUGGAAAUAUUCUGUGAGUAUUUCCGGGAGGAUCUGCUCUAUAUCAUCGAGUGUCUGGACACCCAGAGUAUCCUGAGGGAGCUGAACUUCCGGAAUCCCAUCUCUGUGGAGCACUAUCAAUCUAUAAAGAAGCAAUGUGGCGCCUCUGUGUUUGCUGAGAUGCUGGUAGGAGACAUUCAUGCAUCUGGGAGAGACGCCAUACUGGGAUUCUGGGAAAGUCUCUUUGUUCUACAGAAUGAUUACCCUCACCCCAACCUGCUGGGGGCGCUGGAGGAACUCGCUCAAACAGGUGAUGUUCUGGAAGAGCGAAUUCUUUUAGACAGGAAUGGACCUGAUCUUUCCCCAGAUCUAAACAUCUGCCAGUCACAGCACAAACAGAAUCUUCUAAAGAAAACCAAGAACCUGGUGGAACACAGAGCCCCAGGAUUAACCACUGAGAGUCAGAGUUUCAGUAUCACUGAGCGCUAUUUAGACCUCAUAGUUGUCUCCAGCCAGCACUUCCGGUCUCGUCCUCAGCACGAGCUGAUUGAAACAGGGGGAAUCCAUGAACAUUACUUACAGAGAGCUCAGAGUAACCUGGAGAGGAUUAGCCCUAACCGGCUGUUCCGCUGGUGCCACAGAAAGAGAUGUGUGCCACAGGCAGUGCUGGUGAGCGGAGUGCCAGGGGUGGGGAAAACCACAUUAAUGCAGAAGUUUGUCUAUGACUGGGCCAAUGGGAACCUCUACCAGAGAUUUGCCUUUGUCUUCUUCUUCAAAUUCCGGGAUCUCAAUAAUAAGGAGGAGCUGAGCCUGGCACAGAUGAUUAUUAAUGAAUAUCCCUAUCUACACAGUCAGCUUGAGAGAAUCUUUCAAAAUCCUGAACAACUGCUUUUUAUUUUUGAUGGUUUAGAUGAAAGUAAAAGCCAAAUAGACUUUAUGUCAAACCAGUUGUGCGCAAACCCACACUCCAUGCAAACACUUAGUGUGAUUGUGUCCAGUUUGGUGAGACAGUCUCUCCUUCCCGGCUGUUCUGUCCUAAUAACCAGUCGCCCAACCAGACUAGCAACAGUGGAAACUUCUGUUUUUCACAGAAUACUUGAAAUUAUGGGCUUUUUCCCCAAAGAAAGAGAAAAGUAUUUUCUGCAUUUUUUUAGAGAUACUACAAUGGGGGAGAAGGCUUUCCAUUAUGUGAGGGAGAACGGGAUGCUGUACACAUUCUGCUACAUCCCAUCCUACUGCUGGAUCAUCUGUACCGUCUUAUCCAUGUGCUUCAGGGCCCAAAGGGCAAACUCAGCGCAGACUGUGGAAUUUCUUCCCAAAACGGUCACACAGCUUUAUGCCAGUUUUAUUAGUAACAUCCUUGCCAAUCACUGCCAGGAAGGGUCUAUUGAUAAGAAUUUCCUAAUAUUCAUUGGCCGGAUGGCAGAGCAUGGGUUAAGGAAUCAGAUUCUUUCAUUUACAAAAGAUGAUUUGGAAACAUUUAAUGUUGAUACUUCCUCACAUUUAGCUACAAGCUUUGUGAUGGAGAGUGGGCAGCCUCCCCACGUGUCCUAUUCCUUCUUGCAUCUAACCAUACAGGAGUUCAUGGCUGCCUUGGGUCACUACCUUGACUAUUCCCCUGAGGGGCUGCAGAAGGCUCUUGAGGAGGCAAAAUUAUAUGAGGACGGCCGUGGGGAAAUAUUUCUUCGUUUCAUAUCAGGACUCUCUGACAGUUCCACCAGAUCGCUGUUGAAGCCGUAUGUAGGGGAUUUAUCCGCUCCAGCCGCCAAACAUGUUAUCAGCUUUCUCCAGAAGUCAAUCACCACUCUACAGAAUCCUGACAAAAGGAAAGUUCUCAAUGUAUUUGCCUGCCUCGCUGAGUCCCGGAACAAAGCGCUUGUGUCCUCAUCCAUUGGAUCAAACAGACAACAUGAUUUUCGUGGUUACCACCUGGCGCCUCUGGACUGCACAGUGUUGGCUUUCAUCCUGGAAUCCUGUAGGGAAACAGAAGUUCUAGACCUCGGAGCCUGUUUUAUUCAGACUGAAGGACUGGAGAGAAUAUCAGCUGCUCUACACACUGUUAGGGAUCUCAGACUCACCAACAACAAUCUGAGGGAUGAGGACUUGCCGCGCAUUCAUUCCAUGUUAACUCAUCCGCAGUGCCGGAUCCAUAGGCUCAGCCUGAGGAACAACGGCCUGACGGAGACAAGCUGCCUCCCAAUGGCUUUGGCAGUCAGUGAAAACACAUCCCUGAGGGACCUGGAUCUGUCCAAGAACAAACUGGCCGGGGAGGAUUUCUAUCAGUUGUUGGAGGUUCUUUCUGCCCCAACGUGCAGGAUAGAGUGUUUGGCACUCCAGGAGGCCAAGCUGACCCCAGAAUACACCGAGUCGUUCCUCUCCCUGACUAACAACCCCAACCUCGUGUCCCUCAAUAUCAGCAGCAAUUUCUUUGGCGACGCUGGUUACCCCCAUAUACAGAAACAUAUACUGACACACCCCAGCCUGAGGGAAAUCAGGGUGGGGAUGAACGAUUUUUCGGAAGAAACAGAAAGGAACCUGCUGCAGCUGCAGAGACACAGAAGUGACCAUUAACUUAUGAUGGGCAGGAACAAGCAGACACUUCCAGCAAGGCUCAGCUCUACUGUUCAGCAGCUGUAGUCAUACGGAUAAUCAUUUGGGGCUUCUAUCAGGCUCCAGGAUUCCAAGUUGACCCCACAAUAUGCUGUAUCACUGCUUCGUCUGACUAACAACCCCAACCUCACGCACCUCAACAUUAGCAGCAAUUUCUUUGACGACGCUGGUUACCCCCAUAUAAAGGAAUUUAUACUAAUACACCCCAGCCUGAGGGAGAUCAGGGUCGGGAUGAACGACUUUUCAGAGGAAACAGAGAGGAACCUACAGCAGCUUAAGGCCCACCAACCAGAAUUGGACAUUAUCCUGUGAUGGACUGAAAUACCAGGGGCACAUGACAUCAGUGGGCUCGGCUAUGACGCAAUUGGCUGAUCGUUGCAUCAAUCAAGGGGAAGCUAAGCAGGAAUAAUUUUAUGUUUAUUUGUAUAACAAUGCUAAGAGACUUGCAAAUGUUUGUAAGGACAUCCCAAGAGGCGGUGAUGGGAAUAGCUAGGGAAAUAGAUACACUCUGUUUGGUUGGUACCCGAACAGGCCAGUUAUACUGUGAUUGGACGCCUGGAAAAUCAAUCGUCUAGACUUGUUUUCAUUGGCUGGCAACUAAAGAUAUGGCUCUGAAAGGCACAUAAACUUAUAGAGAUGGAUGGAUGUUGCUAGGUUAUAUUGGACCCUAGGAACCAGAUUGCUGCUGAAAAUCCAAACUGUACCAUUGCAAAUCGUCCGAAAAAGCACUCUCUACAUCAGACUAAAAGUUAAUUUAAAGGUGAACAACCCCUUUAAGCAGCUGUGGGUGGAAUUUUCAGUUUCAAGUCCCUUCACUGGUCAGUAAUAGCAGAAUAUUGCUUGUUGGCUUAGCAAAGUAUGCACAAACCCUCCCUUCCCCUUUACUGCCCUGGUAACCAGCAUAUCCAUAGUAGGUAUGUGGCAACGGGGCAAAUUGUACUAGGUGCCCCAAGGAUAGUGAUUGGGGAAGCCAUUUUAGUAAUGUCUAUACAGUAAUGCCUAUAGUAAUGUCUAUACAGUAAUGCCUAUACAGUAAUGCCUAUACAGUAAUGCCUAUAGUAAUGUCUAUACAGUAAUGUCUAUAGUAAUGUCUAUACAGUAAUGCCUAUAGUAAUGUCUAUACAGUAAUGCCUAUAGUAAUGCCUAUAGUAAUGUCUAUAGUAAUCUCUAUACAGUAAUGCCUAUAGUAAUGCCAAAUACUAGUCCUUUUAAAUGGCGGAGCCAAACAAAAGAAGAAACGUGUGUACAAGUUUGCUACAAUGACUGCGCUCCGUCAGUAUAGAUAUUAUAUUACUGUUACUUACUAGUCGGGUUAAUUACGUUUUAGAAAACAAAAGAGAAAUGUAAAAACCCAUACACAUAAGCACUGUAUAUCAGGGAGAUGAAUACAAAGAUGAACUUAUAUUAUUAUUAUUAUUAUUAGAGUUUAUUUAUUUAUGAGAUGAUUCAAACUAGAAUCAGAAGACUGAGAACAUUCUCCUUCAGAUGAGAAGUUAUUGGUUUCAUUUACUGGGUCUUCUUCUUCUCCUAAUUGACUGGCCCUCCUCCCUCCCACAUCAUGUAAUGAUGCCCAGUCUCUCCUAUUAACUCUCACUAGAGCUCUCUUCUGACUCACUGGAUGAGCUUUCCUCACUCUCGUCAGAUGGUUCCUUCUUUCCUUUCUGUUUCCUGCACAUACAAAAUAGGUUGGAGAUGGUUAAAGCUCCUUACUGAUAUGUGUCCCUGUUAGAUGGGAAUGUAUGCCGCCCCCUGGGUUCAGAAGUAUAGUGGGAAUAAAAACUGGUAUAAAUGCUUACUUACCGUUUUUUUGGUGGGUUCUCCUCAUCGCCAGAGGAACUCUUUUUCCUGUACGUAAUACUGCAAUAAACAGGAGAAAUAUUAUAAAUUG